AUUGAACGCUGGCGGAAUGCUUUACACAUGCAAGUCGAGCGGCAGCGCGGGGGCAACCCUGGCGGCGAGCGGCGAACGGGUGAGUAACAUAUCGGAACGUACCCCGUCGUGGGGGAGUAACACAGCGAAAGCUGUGCUAAUACCGCAUACGACCUGAGGGUGAAAGCGGGGGGAUCGCAAGACCUCGCGCGAUGGGAGCGGCCGAUAUCGGAUUAGCUUGUUGGUGAGGUAAAGGCUCACCAAGGCGACGAUCCGUAGCUGGUCUGAGAGGACGACCAGCCACACUGGAACUGAGACACGGUCCAGACUCCUACGGGAGGCAGCAGUGGGGAGUUUUGGACAAUGGGCGCAAGCCUGAUCCAGCCAUUCCGCGUGCAGGAUGAAGGCCUCGGUUGUAACUAGCUUUGUUACGG
rnacentral:rRNA from 1 species